CCCACUGCGAGCCAGCCCCAGGCCCUCUGGGAAAGGAAACCAGUAAAACUGGAGGGGAGCCUGGGGGAUGCGUGCCUGCCCCCAAAUCUCCCCAGGCUCCCCAUGUCUGUCCCCUGCCCCCCCCCAACCCUGCCUGUCUCACCUCCAACCCUCUCUUCACUCUAGACCUCUCAAGCCACAGCAAAAAGGCUGUGGUUUCCUAAACACACCCAGUGCCCCACACCUCUGGCCUUACCCCCGCUGCUCUCUCUGCGGGGAGAGAAAACUCUCAAGCAUCCUUCAGAGCUAGGCUGUGGCACCACCCGUUCCUGGAAGACUCCUCUGCCCCCUACGGGGUUAGAUACCUCCUCUGGUGCCCCCAGCACCCUGUGCGACUCCAGGAUGGCCCGAAUUACCCUGUCACCCUGCAACCAUCACCGCCACAGCCUGGAAAUUCCAUGGGCAGGACUUACGUGGAGGUGCCCACAGCCAAUCAGGGAGCCCGGCCUGAUGAGCAAGGCUGCAAACCUCAGGGACGCUGGCCACGCUGGACCUGGGCUGGGGACCGCCCUGCACCCCCCACCCACUCACCUGGGACUGGAGGCCACUGUGGGUGGCCAUCUUGACUGUGGGCAGCACAGCCCAUGGAGCCAUGACCACUGAGGAGCGGUAACUGGGGCAGCAGUGGGGCCGAUUAGCAGCUCUGAUGGUAGUAUUCUCGAACUUGACAACUCCAAUGACAGUCCCAUUCCCUACAGCCCUGCCCUCACUGGAUCGCAGCUCCCCUGGCAGGUCAGUUCUGCAGUGUCAGUCCUAUUCCUCUAGCUUCUGUAAAAAUUCUGUAAGCCUCCACGUCUCUGCAUUUAACCCCUUGCUGCUUAAAGUAACUGGAGUGUUUUGUGACUCUUGCAGUAAAACCCUGCAUGAUUAGAAGGACUCAGACUGUGGGGUAUCUGCUGGAUAUUCCAGACUGACAAGCCACUCCCACAACAGAAGCUGAAAUAUCCCAAUAUCCACUUUCCCAGCCUUCCCUGCAUUUCUGAAUGGCCUAGGGACCCAACUCUGGCCAGUGGAAGCUGAGGGUACAUCCGCGGGGAGUCUGAAGAAGGGAAUUCCUGAUAAAAAGGCACCUACAGGAGUGAACACCCUAUUCAGGUUAGCCUCUAUGUGCUGUCAAGGGAGGACAUGGUGUUUGGAACUGUGGCAGCCAACCAGGGCCAUGAAAAGAAGACCAAGGAAUGGCAGGGACACCUGUCCACAAGCUGCCAAACCAGCCCCUGGCAAAGCCAUCUGUGCCCUCCCUGUUUUGUGACAUGAAGAAUUUGAUAAUUUUGCCAGUGUUUACACAAAAUAAUGAUAAUUAGUGUGUUGUCUGUCAAAUGUUUGCAGCUCUCCACCCCUCGGGCAUACAGUAGGAUUACAGCUCAUUGAACUCUACUGGCUGAGUGGAGACAUGCAACUCGUUCUGGCCAAACGGCUGGGAUAUACCACUUCCAAGAUGGACUGUUUAACUGCCAGGGAAAAACUUCUAGAGAUCUCUUUCCCUCUGCCACAAGGAAUGAGACCUUUAAGAUGCUGGCUGCUCUAGCAGCAUGCUUCCUUGAGUAAUCAUGAUGAGCAGAGCUCUUUUGCCAACCUGAGAUACACAUGUAGAGUGAAAAAAAACAGUUAAAAAGGCUGGAGCUCCAGCAGCCCUUCUGGACCAGAAGGCAGCCUUAAGAACAGAUGCCACAUGUUGAGGAUUACAGAGCAAUGUUGGAAGGAAGCUGAGUCAUUGAUAACAUAUGAACCUAUACUGCUGACUUCUGGGCUUUGUAAAAAGAGAGAAAUGAGCUGUUAUCUUGUUUAGGUCGCUGGUAUUCCUGUUUCUAUUACAUACAACCAAAUGCAACUCCUAACUGACGCAAAGCUUUCUGGAAAACCUCUUGUUUUUACUGAUAAAAAGGACAGAUAUGAUUGGUA